rnacentral:snoRNA from 2 species
UUCCUCUCAGGGUCGCACCUGGAGAGUUUCCAGUACUCUACCAUUCUCGGCUAUGGGAGAAAAAGAGUCAAGCAGAGGCCUACCCAUUCCAUUCCUAGCUUGGGCUAGCUAGCAAGUGGAAGACAAUCUGCUACAAGU